rnacentral:rRNA from 1 species
GAUGAACGCUGGCGGCGUGCCUAAUACAUGCAAGUCGAGCGAACAGACGAGGAGCUUGCUCCUCUGACGUUAGCGGCGGACGGGUGAGUAACACGUGGAUAACCUAUCUAUAAGACUGGGAUAACUUCGGGAAACCGGAGCUAAUACCGGAUAAUAUAUUGAACCGCAUGGUUCAAUAGUGAAAGACGGUUUUGCUGUCACUUAUAGAUGGAUCCGCGCCGCAUUAGCUAGUUGGUAAGGUAACGGCUUACCAAGGCAACGAUGCGUAGCCGACCUGGGAGGGUGAUCGGCCACACUGGAACUGAGACAAGGUCCAGACUCCUACGAGAGGCAGCAGUAGGGAAGGUACCGCAAUGGGCGAAAGCCUGACGGAGCAACCCCGAGUGAGUGAUGAAGGUCUUCGGAUCGUAAAACUCUGUUAAUAGGGAAGAACAAAUGUGUAAGUAGCUAUACACGUCUUGACGGUACCUGAUCAAAAAGCCACGGCUAACUACGUG